rnacentral:rRNA from 1 species
GGCAGCAGUGGGGAAUUUCGGACAAUGGGCGAAAGCCUGAUCCAGCCAUGCCGCGUGCAGGAUGAAGGCCUUCGGGUUGUAAACUGCUUUUGUACGGAACGAAAAGACUCUGGUUAAUACCUGGGGUCCAUGACGGUACCGUAAGAAUAAGCACCGGCUAACUACGUGCCAGCAGCCGCGGUAAU